rnacentral:lncRNA from 1 species
UUCUUAUUUAUAUUUUUAUGUAUUUUUUUGAAACAGAGUCUCACUCUGUCACCGAGGCUGGAGGCACAAUCACGGCUCACUGUAGUGUCGACCUCCCAGCUUCAAGCAAUCUUCCCAUUUUAGCCUCCCAAGUAGCUAGGACUACAGGUGCGCUCUAACAUGCCUGGCUAUUUUUGUAAUUUUAGUAGAGAUGAGGUUUUGCCAUGCUGCCCAGGCUGGUCUUGAACUACUGGGCUCCAGUGAUCUGCCCACCUCUGUCUCCCAAAGUGUUGGGAUUACAGGCAUGAGCCACUGCACUAGUCCAAAAUUAUUUUUAAAUGGUGAUUUUCUUCUGGGAAGUAUGUAGAAUUGGUCAGUCUUUUUGAUUGAACUUUUCUGGAUGAGGUUAAAUCUUGCUGGAAAGCCUUUUAGCAGUACUAUGUAUUAACAGUAAAUACAUUUUUAGGAAUGUGACCUAAAGAAACAAUCAGAAAUGCAAUUGAAGCUUUUGUAAAAAAUGUUCUUUGGAAGAUUAUAAUGGCAAAAAUAAGUGACCGAAAUAUCAGUAAAGGGAAAGGAUCAAAUACAGUGUAGACACAAUAAAAUGUUUUUAUAACUGUUAAACAUUUAGUUUAGAAAAAAAUUUUUAUGUCCUGGGUAAAAACCAGGAUAUAGAACUGAGCGUAUAGGAAUGUAUAUGGGAUAUCAGCUUUGUAAAAUACAUAUGUAUAUCAGUACUUACCAUAAGACAGGGCAAAAAGAAAAAUAAAAAAAAUACAUAUGUGCAUAGAAAAACUUAUAUGGUUAGCAGGAUGUACACCAAAAUAUUAUGUCAGUUAUCUCUGAGUAAUGGUACUCUGGAAGAUUUUUAUUUUCUUCUUUAUACUUUUUUGAAGUUACUGGAUUUCUUAUCAAUGAGCAUGUCUACUUUUAUAGUUAGAGGAGGGAACACCUUAUAAAUGAAGCUGCUUAUUUUUUAAGUAAGAGAAGCUAUUAUUGUUUACUUGAAAUGAUAUAAAAUAUUCCUCUUCUUAAACUUUCUUAUAGCCAUUUAAAUGGAUGUUCCCUGGAAAUGCUAAGCAGGCCUUCCCUACUUAUCACAGAUUCAUUCAAUGCUACAUAUGUACAGCCUAGAAGAAAACAGAGAGAUGAGCAGCUUCUGAGUACGUAUUCUUUCACGUCCUUAUUAUUAUUAUUAUUUUGUAACUUUUUGUAUAUUUAGGGAAUAUAAGUACAUAAAAGUACAGGUUUCUUUUUUUUUUUGAGACGGACUUUCGCUCUUUCACCCAGGCUGGAGUGAAGUGGCGCGAUCUCGGCUCACUGUAACUUCCGCCUCCUGGGUUCAAGUGAUUCUUGUGCCUCAGCCUCCCGAGUAGCUGGGAUUACAGGUGUGCACCACCACGCCCAGCUAAUUUUUGUAUUUUUAGUGGAGACAGGGUUUCUCCAUGUUGGCCAGGCUGGUCUUGAAUUUCUGACCUCAGGUGAUCCACCUGCCUUGGCCUCCCAAAGUGCUGGGAUUACAGGCAUGAGCCACCACGCCCGGCCACAAGUAUAGGUUUCUUAAUGCAUACGUUGCACAGUGGUGAAGUUUGGCCUUUUACUGUAUCCGUCUCCAGAAUCGUGAAUGUUGUACCCAAUGUAUAAUGUCCUUUUCAAGGAGCUGUGGAAAUGCAUGGUAGUGGGAAUGACUGUAUUCUGUUUAGCACUUUUCUUGGUCAUAAGAGAUUGGUUAACUUUAGUAUUUUUGAAAAAAAUAUUAUGUGACCAUCAGUUUUUGUAUAAGAAGAAACUUAGCUGGUUUGAAUUUAACUUUUGUGGAACAGUGUGUAAAGAUUGGCUUCUUUUUGCCAGUCAGUACAUAGCUAGCUAUCCCUGGCACUCACUGGCAUAUGUCUGUAUGUAAAGACCUCGUACAAAUCUAUUAGAAAAAUAUACUCUAAAAGAAAAAUGAGGCCAGGUGCAGUGGCUCACGCCUGUAAUCCCACCACUUUGGGAGGCUGAGGCAGGCGGAUCAUGAGGUCAGGAGAUUGAGACCAUCCUGGCUAACACGGUGAAACCCCGUCUCUACUAAAUAUACAAAAAAUUAGCCGGGCGUGGUGGCGGGUGCAUGUAAUCCCAGCUACUCAGGAGGCUGAGGCAGGAGAAUGGCGUAAACCCGGAAGGCGGAGCUUGCAGUGAGCUGAGAUCUGGCCACUGCACUCCAGCCUGGGCUACAGAGUGAGACUCCGUCUCAAAAAAAAAAAGAAAAAUGAACAAAGAGCUAAGUGGAUAAAUGAGGCUGUAAAUAUUCCACUAAUUUUGGGUGUUUUACACUUUAAUAUAGUAGGCCAUUGCUGCUUGCUUCAUCUUACAUUCUUUUUUUUUUUUUUUUUGAGAUGGUGUCUUGCUCUGUUGCCCAGGCUGGAGUGCAGUGGCACAGUCUCGGCUCACUGCAACCUUCACUUCCCGGGUUGAAGUGAUUCUUCUGCCUCAGCCUCCCAAGUAGCUGGGAUUACAGGCAUGCGCCACCAUGCCCAGCUAAUUUUUAUAUUUUUAGUGGAGAUGGGGUUUCGCCAUGUUGGCCAGGCUGGUGUUGAACUCCUGACCUCAGGUGAUCCUCCUGCCUCAGCCUCCCAAAGUGUUGGGAUUACAGGCGUAAACCACUGCACCUGGCCUUAUAUUCUUUUUAAAUAAGCUAUAAGGGAUUUCAGCAGGGAAAAUUGGAUUCCAUUUUUAAACAUGUUUUCAACCAUUGUUUUUAGUUCAUCUACUUUAAAAGUACAACUAUUUUUUUUUUUUUUUUUUUUUUGAGAUGGAGUCUUGCUCUGUCGCCAGGCUGGAGUGUAGUGGCACAAUCCCGGUUCACUGCAACCUCUGCCUCCCGGGUUCAAGUGAUUCUCCUGCCUCAGCCUCCCAGGUAGCUGGGAUUACAGGUGUGCGCCACUACGCCCAGCUAAUUUUUGUACUUUUAAUAGAGACGGGGUUUCACCAUGUUGGCCAGGAUGGUCUUGAUCUCUUGACCUUGUGAUCCGCCCACCUCGGCCUCCCAAAGUGCUGGGAUUACAGGCGUGAGCCACCGCGCCCUGCCACUAAAAGUGUAACUAUUAAUAAUAUACCGUGUUGCACCAACUUUAAGAAGCUCAAGCCAGACACUGUGGUUCACGCCUGACAUUGUGGUCAAUGGUCAACACUUUGGGAGGCUGAGGCAAGAUGAUGGCUUGAAGCCAGCAGUUCAAGACCAGCCUGGGUAACAUAGUGAGACCCCCAUCUCUUUUUUUUUUUUUUUUUGAGAUGUAGUCUCGCUCUGUCGCCAGGCUGGAGUGCAGUGGCGCGAUCUCGGCUCAUUGCAACCUCCACCUCCUGGGUUCAGGUGGUUCUCCUGCCUCAGCCUCCCGAGUAGCUGGGAUUACAGGCGUGUGCAACCAUGCCCGGCUAAUUUUUUGUAUUUUUAGUAGAGACGGGGUUUCACCAUGUUGGCCAGGAUGGUCUCGAUCUCUUGACCUCAUGAUCUGCCUGCCUUGGCCUCCCAAAGUGCUGGGAUUAUAGGUGUGAGCCACCAUGCCUGGCCGCAAUCCCCAUCUCUACAAAAAAAAAGAAAAUUUUUGCCAGACGUGGUGGUACAGGCCCGUAGUUCCAGCUGCUUGGGAGGCUGGGGUGGGAGGAUUGCUUGAGGCCAGGAGGUUGAGGCUGCAGUGAGCUAUGAUCACACCACUGCACUCCAGCCUGGGUGACAGAGCGAGACCCUGUCUCAACAAACAAACAAACUGAAAAACAAAAAAAGUAGCGGCUCUUUAAGUCUUAGUUUUGCUAGAGUUCAGUUUUACCACAUAUUUCCAAGGGGACUUUCAUCUAGAGGAAGGAAAUCCAUAAAGAUAUACUUGUUGGAAGGGAAUAUGAUCUAUAUUUUAUUCUAUAGGCAUACAUACAUACAAACUAUGUAUCAUACAUAGUUGGCCUUUGUAGCUGCUGUUCCACAUCUGAGGAUUCAACUAACUGUGGAUUGAAAAUAUUUGAAAAAACAAUAAAAGAAGAUAAUGCAAUAGUUUAAAAAAUAUAAGUAAAAAAAAACAGUGUAACAACCAUUUACAUAGCAUGUACACUGUAUUAGGUAUUAUAAGCAAUCUAGAGAUGAUUUAAAGUAUAUAGGAGGAUGUACGUAGGUUAUAUGCAGAUAUAUUGUUUUUUUGAGGCAAAGUCUUUCUCUGUUGUACAUGCUGGAGUGUAGUGGCACAAUCACGACUCUCUGCAGCCUCAAACUCCUGGGCUCAAGCAGUCUCCCUCUAGCUUCCCACAUAGCUAAGACCACAGGCAUGUGCCACCAUGCCCGGCUAAUUUGUUUAUUUUUAUAGAGACGGGAUCUCCCUAUGUUGUCCAGGCUGGUCUUGAACUCCUGGACUCAAGCCAUCCUCUUGCCUUGACUUCCCAAACUGCUGGGAUUACAGGUGUGAGCCAUUGCGCCUGGCCACCAUUUUAUUUGAGGGACCUGGGCAUCUGAUGGUUUUGGUAUUCGUGGGAGUCCCGGGGCCAGUACCCAUGGGUACUGAGGGAUGGCUGUAUAUAUAAUUAUGUGAGUGUAUAUAUGUAUGUAUAUAAAUUUGGGAAUUCAUCAUAACGGAGUUCACUGGGGUGGAUAGGCGAGACCAGGGUAGCCCGGAAACACCAGGCUGGUUACAUUUGGCCUGGUCAUACAAUUUUCUCAGUGAUACACACACCAUUUUCUAUGU